ensembl:lncRNA LINC01250 long intergenic non-protein coding RNA 1250
GGGGCUGUUCUAAUACUCCAGACUCUGUUGAGUCCAAACUCCAGAGGAAAUUUACACAUUUACAUCAGCAGGUUCUACUGAUGAAUUCAUUUAACUUUGACCUGGGAAGAAAAGUCAUAAAUUCACAUCCAUGAACAGGAGGAGAAGAAGGGGAACUGCUAUAGAGACUGCACAGUGAUGACCCCUGCAUGCAUUUUUCAGUCAACAAGAGCAUCUCGUGACUUCUGAUCACGGUUCCAAGGUCUGUGGGUGCCACGUUUUUUGAGUUUACCGAGACCACAGAUUGGAGACUUCGAAGUGCCCUCCAGGUCCAAGCAGCAGGCCCACCUCGCUGCAGAGACAGGGUCUACAGGAGGGUGUCAUUUUAGUCAGAACGGCAGAGCCAUGGAUAACACUCAGUCCUAUUAUGGAGCUGGACCCGGAACCCAGAAACUCAGAAAAGUUAAGUGAUUUGUGAGUAACAUCCACAUGGAGCCGCUGGAACUGAACUCAAAUACAGGUUUAACCUUGGCAUUAGCUAAGUGA